ensembl:lncRNA
AUCUUUACAGUUUUACCAUUUCAAGAAUCCCAUAUAAAUGGAAUCAUAUGUACGUAACCUUCUGAGACUGGCUCUUUUGCACUAAUGCCCUUUAGAUCAUCCAACUGUGUACAUAUCAAUAGUUUGUUUUUGGUUGCUGAGUAAUAGUCCAUGUAUGCGGGACACCUAGUCAGUGUCGACUGAGAAUUGGAGAAUCUCUUGGUGGUGUAGAAAAAAAUACGUCAUGGAGUUGUGUUCACCAGUGCUCAACUACCAUCCUUGGAAGCCCUGCCACUCAACUUAUUUCCGUUAUUCCAUAAACAUUCAAGUGCCCACCAUGAGCCAAGAACUUUUCUAUGCACUAGAGCGACAAGAGCAUUCACACUCCCCCCGCGGAGCUCACAGCCUGCAGAAGGAGCCAGCCGGGAAGCAGAAGACACGGCAUGGCGUCAUAAACCUAUGACAGAGCCUGUCCUGGUGGCACUGUGGGAAGCAUGACCCGGAUGUGGGGCAGGCAAAUGGCUCUCAGGGACGCUUCCCAAAGGGGCACACCCAAUCAAGAUGGCCUCAUCUCCAGAUUCUGUACUUCCUUAUGUCUGCAAAGACCCUUUUGUCAAACGACGUCAGAACACUCCAAAUAUCUUGCUAUUGAUCAAUUGUCACAAGAUUGGCAAAUCAUUUUUCACGUCAUUUCAAGACUCUUUUAAUAACAGUCCCAAAUGCCAAAGUGCCUUUACCAAUUCACAUUAUCAUCACCCUGGAAAGAUCGUCUCUCCCCACAGUUUUCAGGCAGCAGAGAUGUACAGACCCAGAAGUGGAGAGGUAACCUCAGUCGUUUCACAGCACGCUUGCAGACCAGAAAGCAAAGCUUCGGAAUUCUGGACGCACGUUUAAGUGAUGUUACUGCAGACCCUGACGCCAUUCACAUUGGUGAGAUAUUGAGAUUUCCACAGGUGACUUUGUGGACACACGGGGCACUCCAGCCAUGAGGACUUGGGCUGUUGUGUUCGUAUCAGCAGAAGCGGUCUGAGUUCCACCUCUGAAGGACAACAUGAAGGUUACUGACCAUCGUAUCAUGGCAUCUAGAGUUCUACCGUUCAGGAAGCCUCCGUGGACGUCAAAGACUUGUAGGCUUCCGAGAGUCCCCUCUAAAUGACGGAUGCCAUUGCCCUCCGUGAUGAGCCCUCACGUGGCUCGCUGCCUGGAAAGGAGUGGAUAGAGACCUCACGGCUGCGCUGGGCCGCAGGAGAGAGGUGGGGCAGGAGAAGGAGACGGAGCCCAAGACCAGCUUCCUGUUUCACACGCUUUCCAGGUUUGGCCUUAAGUACUGGCUGGAGGGGCAGACACCCAGCCCCACUCCACCAUGCCACGCACCUGACGGCAACACUCCAAUCACCCCUAAGGCUCAGAGAGCAGACACAGUCCCUGGGCCCUCCUGGGCCUUGGCUGCUACCAGCCUCAGAGCAGCCAGAAGCAAACCUGCCAGGCAGUCUCAGCUUGCUUUACUGAGGAGGUUCAUGCUGAACAGAAAAAGCGUCAAUAACAACUGUGUUUGAGCCCCUGUUAUAUUCCUGGCCCGACCACAGGGUCUAUGACGUCACCACUUCUGGACAUCCAAAGCCACCAUUUUAAGCAUCCGAGACUUGAUGGUGUGCCCCUGGCAUACAGCUUGG